UACAGAGGUGGCAAGCGUUGUUCGGAAUUACUGGGCGUAAAGGGCGCGUAGGCGGUCUUGUAAGUCUUGUGUGAAAUCCCUCGGCUCAACUGAGGAACUGCACGGGAUACUGCGAGACUUGAGUUCGGGAGAGGGAAGCGGAAUUCCGGGUGUAGCGGUGAAAUGCGUAGAUAUCCGGAGGAACACCGGUGGCGAAGGCGGCUUCCUGGACCGAUUACUGACGCUGAGGCGCGAAAGCUAGGGGAGCAAACGGG
rnacentral:rRNA from 1 species